rnacentral:sRNA from 1 species
GGGUGUGGUGGCGUAUACCUGCAGUGCCAGAUACUUGGGAGGCCAAGGUGGGAGGAUCUCUUGAGCCCAGGAGUUUGAGGUCAUCCUGGGCAACAUAGUGAGACCCUGUCAU